rnacentral:rRNA from 1 species
UACGGGGGGGGCAAGCGUUGUUCGGAAUUACUGGGCGUAAAGGGCCAGUAGGCGGCCAACUAAGUCGGAUGUGAAAUCCCCAGGCUCAACCUGGGAACUGCAUCCGAUACUGGAUGGCUUGAAUUCGGGAGAGGGAUGCAGAAUUCCAGGUGUAGCGGUGAAAUGCGUAGAUAUCUGGAGGAACACCGAUGGCGAAGGCAGGUCUCUGGGCCACUACUGACGCUGAGAAGCGAAAGCAUGGGGAGCGAACAGG